UACGUAGGGUGCAAGCGUUUAAUCGGAAUUACUGGGCGUAAAGUGUGCGCAGGUGGCCGCGCAAGUCGAGUGUGAAAAUCCCCCGAGCUUAACUUGGGAAUUGCGCUCGAAACUACGUGGCUCGAGUGUGGCAGAGGAAGGUGGAAUUCCACGUGUAGCGGUGAAAUGCGUAGAGAUGUGGAGGAACACCGAUGGCGAAGGCAGCCUUCUGGGCCAACACUGACGCUCAUGCACGAAAGCGUGGGGAGCAAACAGG
rnacentral:rRNA from 1 species